CCUACGGGAGACUGCAGUGAGGAAUAUUGGUCAAUGGUCGGGAGACUGAACCAGCCAAGCCGCGUGAGGGAGGAAGGUACAGAGUAUCGUAAACCUCUUUUGUCAGGGAACAAAGACUGGGACGCGUCCCCGGAUGAGUGUACCUGAAGAAAAAGCAUCGGCUAACUCCGUGCCAGCAGCCGCGGUAAUACGGGGGAUGCGAGCGUUAUCCGGUUUUAUUGGGUUAAAGGGGUGCGCAGGCGGUCUGGUAAGUCAGCGGUCAAAGCCCGGGGCUCAACCCCGGCCCGCCGUUGAAACUGGCAGUCUCGAGUUGGAGAGUAGUAUGCGGAAUGCGCGGUGUAGCGGUGAAAUGCAUAGAUAUCGCGCAGAACUCCGAUUGCGAAGGCAGCAUGCCGGCUCCACACUGACGCUGAGGCACGAAAGCGUGGGUAUCGAACAGGAUUAGAUACCCGAGUAGUC
rnacentral:rRNA from 1 species